CAGACAGUGGUUUAGUGGUAAAAUUACCCCUUGCCAUGGGGUAGCCCCGGGUUCAAUUCCCGGCUGUCUGA